rnacentral:misc_RNA from 1 species
UCCGGCUUGUCACCGGCAGUUUCCCCAAAGUGCCCAGCAUUACCUGAUGGCAACUGGAGACGAGGGUUGCGCUCGUUGCGGGACUUAACCCAACAUCUCACGGCACGAGCUGACGACAGCCAUGCAGCACCUGUGCUAGCUCCCCGAGGGGUCCCUUCCCUUUCGGGUCGGUACUACUAGCAUGUCAAGCCCUGGUAAGGUUCUUCGCGUUGCGACGAAUUAAACCGCACGCUCCGCUGCUUGUGCGGGCCCCCGUCAAUUCCUUUGAGUUUUAGCCUUGCGGCCGUACUCCCCAGGCGGGACACUUAUUGCGUUAGCUUCGGCACGGAAGGAGUCGACACCUCCCACACCUAGUGCCCAUCGUUUACGGCGUGGACUAC